rnacentral:rRNA from 1 species
UACGUAGGGGGCAAGCGUUGUCCGGAAUCAUUGGGCGUAAAGCGCGUGUAGGCGGCCAGAUAGGUCUGCUGUGAAAACUCGAGGCUCAACCUCGAGCUGUCGGCGGAAACCAUCUGGCUAGAGUCCGGAAGAGGAGAGUGGAAUCCUGGUGUAGCGGUGAAAUGCGCAGAUAUCAGGAAGAACACCUAUGGCGAAGGCAGCUCUCUGGGACGGUACUGACGCUGAGACGCGAAAGCGUGGGGAGCGAACAGG